GAUGAACGCUGGCGGCGUGCCUAAUACAUGCAAGUCGAGCGAAUGGAUUGAGAGCUUGCUCUUAUGAAGUUAGCGGCGGACGGGUGAGUAACACGUGAGUAACCUGCCCAUAAAACUGGGAUAACUCCGGGAAACCGGGGCUAAUACCGGAUAACAUUUUGAACCGCAUGGUUCGAAAUUGAAAGGCGGCUUCGGCUGUCACUUAUGGACGGACCCGCGUCGCAUUAGCUAGUUGGUGAGGUAACGGCUCACCAAGGCAACGAUGCGUAGCCGACCUGAGAGGGUGAUCGGCCACACUGGGACUGAGACACGGCCCAGACUCCUACGGGAGGCAGCAGUAGGGAAUCUUCCGCAAUGGACGAAAGUCUGACGGAGCAACGCCGCGUGAGUGAUGAAGGCUUUCGGGUCGUAAAACUCUGUUGUUAGGGAAGAACAAGUGCUAGUUGAAUAAGCUGGCACCUUGACGGUACCUAACCAGAAAGCCACGGCUAACUACGUGCCAGCAGCCGCAGUAA
rnacentral:rRNA from 1 species